GACGAACGCUGGCGGCGUGCUUAACACGUGCAAGUCGAGCGGUAAGGCCCUUUCGGGGGUACACGAGCGGCGAACGGGUGAGUAACACGUGGGUGACCUGCCCUCAGCUCUGGGAUAAGCCUGGGAAACCGGGUCUAAUACUGGAUAUGACUCCAUGACGCAUGUUGUGGGGUGGAAAGCCUUGUGCGGCUGAGGAUGGGCCCGCGGCCUAUCAGCUUGUUGGUGGGGUGAGGCCUACCAAGGCGACGACGGGUAGCCGGCCUGAGAGGGCGACCGGCCACACUGGGACUGAGACACGGCCCAGACUCCUACGGGAGGCAGCAGUGGGGAAUCUUGCGCAAUGGGCGAAAGCCUGACGCAGCGACGCCGCGUGAGGGAUGACGGCCU
rnacentral:rRNA from 1 species